CUUAGGUGAGACCAAACCCAUCUCCCCCUCACACGAACUCAUAUCUCUUAUGGACUGUUGGGCUUGAGACUUGUUAAUGACUUGAGCUCUAAUACGAGUGUUGGGUGAUCUUGGGUCUUUUCAUUCCUGGAAGCUAGUUUAAGAGGUAAGAACUUUACUUGCAUUUAUAAACAGACCACUAGCCCCUUCCACAACCGAUGUGAGACAACCUCAACAAAAUGACCACACAACCAAAUUACUAUUUGGUAGCCUACAAGUCAAACCUAAUUCCAUUUACCCAACUAAACAUGUGACUAGUGACUUCUAAUCUUCCAUCUUCUCUAUCCUAGACUGAGAACGUCUCUCUUCUCUUCUCUUUUCCUGUCAUCUCUUCCUUCGUCCUUGUUAUUGCUAAUGGUUAUUGUCGAAGCCGAACAACGGAAGUUGUAGGUAAAUUAAUAUGUGCUAUUGGCAUUUGGUAAUUGGUAUGCUUUUCUUUGGUUAUGUGGCUUUUGAGCAGUAGUAGUAACACAAGACAAGUAGAUGUUAGAUGUAGAAUAGCCUUCCAGUUCUGUCAUUCUGAUUUCUAAUUAUUGAUAGUGUUUUUUUAUAAUUUUUAAGUCUCCGUAAAUGUGAAAUAUUAAAGGGUUUUGAUGUUACAGUGUAGAAUGGAAGAUUAAAGCGUUUCCUUAUUUCUAUUUAGAUGCUUUGAUUUUAUAUCUUGUAUAAAAAAACCAUGUGAUGAAGAAAUGGUUGAAGUAGUUAGAAGAAAAUUAAUGCGCAAUUGUAAAACUUCUUUUGAUGGUUG
rnacentral:lncRNA from 1 species